rnacentral:rRNA from 1 species
UACAGAGAGCUGCGAGCGUUUAUUCGGAGUUCAGCUGGGCGUAAAGGGGUGCGCAGGCGGCCAAGUGUGUGAAGGCGGUGAAAGCCCUGGAGCUUAACUCCAGAAUUGCACCUCAAACUACAUGGCUAGAGCAUUGGAGAGGGUAGCGGAAUUCACGGUGUAGCAGUGAAAUGCGUAGAUAUCGUGAGGAACACCAGAGGCGAAGGCGGCUACCUGGACAAUUGCUGACGCUCAGGCACGAAAGCGUGGGGAGCAAAAGGG